rnacentral:rRNA from 1 species
UUGUAUUUGUGCCAGCAGCCGCGGUAAUACGUAGGCGGCAAGCGUUGUCCGGAAUUAUUGGGCGUAAAGGGAGCGCAGGCGGGAAACUAAGCGGAUCUUAAAAGUGCGGGGCUCAACCCCGUGAUGGGGUCCGAACUGGUUUUCUUGAGUGCAGGAGAGGAAAGCGGAAUUCCCAGUGUAGCGGUGAAAUGCGUAGAUAUUGGGAAGAACACCAGUGGCGAAGGCGGCUUUCUGGACUGUAACUGACGCUGAGGCUCGAAAGCUAGGGUAGCGAACGGG